GGGCCAGGGAAACCCUAGUGUGAGAACCAAAAGGCUGGGUGAGACAGAGUCAGGACACUGGAAGCUAUCUACGAGCUACCUAGAGGCUGGCUGAUUUAUGAAGUCCUCACCGCAGACCAACAGGGAAACUGUUGUGCAGAAACAGAUUGACUCAGAAACACGUGAUAAGACUGUGGUCUAAAAAGGGAAAUUUAAGAGUCACCAAAGGGCCAGAAGCAGCUGUGACAAGGGAUUAAGAGCCCAGGACGUGAGAGCAGAAACAGGAAAUCCAGGCAAUUUUGCUGGCUGUUCCCGGAACGGACAGGACAAAGGGACUAUAUUAAGGCUUCCCUGGGUUAGACAAGAUUGGAACACGUCAGAUGGCCAACUGCUAGCACAUUGUGGUGUCUAGUAUCAUAUAUCCUCCCUCCCUCUCCCUCCCCCUCUCUUCUCCUCCCUCGGUCUUUCUGUCUCUUUCUCUGUGUCUGUCUCUGUUUUUGUCUCCAUUUCUCUCUUCCCCUCCCCUCACUUGCCCCACCUCUCUUAGGGUGUGUGUUCUUUAAAUUCCAGCUUAACAGCCACAUGAUUUAGGCUACUUCUGUCCUCCUAAAAUAGGACUCUGGCCAUGUCUCCAAAGGAGGCCCCUGCAACACACGGGUGGGCUGGCUGCCAGGGCUGGCAGAAGGAGAUGUGUGCUGGAAAUAAACGAGGAGCUGUUUGCUUACAGAUCUUCCCCACCACCUCAUGGUCCCUGGAGAUGUGAGCAAGCAGCCCUGUAGCUACCACAGAUGGGAGCUGGUCCUGCGGUCAUGCCUUCCCCAUCAUGAUGGACUGGAUCCCUUGAGCCAUGAGCCAGCAUAAACCUUCUUCACUUCUGUUGCUCUUUGGCAGGUCAUAGCAAUCAGAAAAGUAGUACAGGCGUGCACCCACUUUUCUCGCAGAGAUAGGAGUGGCUGGAGGGGUUCUGGCUACAGCCAGGUUUCAGAAGGCAAUUUGGGAAGAAGUAACUGAAGGGCAAGUGCAGCUGGCAUGAUAACUAGACCCAGCAGUGGGCCUAGGCACCGGAGGGAAGCAGCAUUGGAGUCCUAGUGUACUGACAAGAGUGGGCAUUUAAGCAACUAUGAAGGUGUAAAGUAGGCAGAAAUCCCAGCUCUCAGGCCUGGUGGUGGACUUCUGACUUGGAGUGUCAUACUGUGGAGGCAGUUUCUUUAUCUCUAUUUUAUAUAUCAUGCUUGAAUCUAAUUAAACAGAACAGAAGGUGGAGGUUGGGAAGAUGGCUCAGUGGGUAAGGCAUUUGUCUUGCAACUGUGAAGACCUAAGUUUGAAUCUCUGAAAAACCUUGUAAAGCUGGACACAUCAUCCAUCAUUCCAGGAAUCCUACAGAGAGCUGGGAGACAGGGAUAGGAAAAGGCCAGCUAGGUGGAUGUACACACUGUGGAACAAAAGACCCUGCGGUAGCUUGAAUAAGAAUAGGCUCAUGUAUCUGAAUACUUGGGAUUCCGAGGUAUGACCUUGUUGGAGUAGGUAUGACCUUGUUGGAGUAGGUGUGACCUUGUUGGAAGAAGUGCAUCUCUCAGGGUGGGAUUUGAGGUUUCAAAAACCCAAGCCAGUCCCAAAGUCUCUCCUCCUGCUCAACCUGUGGAUCCAGAUAAAGAACUCUCAGCUACUUCUCCAGCACCGUCUCUGCCUGCACGUGAACAUGCUCCUCCCUGUGAUGACAAUGAGUUAAAUCUCUGAAACUGUCUGUAAGCCAGCUCCAGUUAAGUGCUCUCCUUUAUAAAAAUUGCUGGGGCCCUUGGUGUCUCUUGGAAGCAAUAAAACACUGACUAAGACAA
rnacentral:sRNA from 1 species